UUAGCCAACCCCUUUUUCGCCCAAAAAGACUUGCCUUUCUUAGGAGAUUCUUUCCUCCCUUUUCUUUCUCCUCUUUCCUUUUUUUACUCCCCUUUUCACUCCUUAUGUUCCCCUAUUUCCUUUUCUUCUCUUUGUUUCAUUCCCUUCCAUUUUUCUCCCCUUUUAACUUACCCUUGCCAUCCUAAUAACCAAAGAAAACAAUUAUUUUUGUUUUCUCUUUCAUUUUUCUCUCUCUCUUCUUUUUCUUUCA
rnacentral:lncRNA from 1 species